GACGAACGCUGGCGGCGUGCUUAACACAUGCAAGUCGAACGGAAAGGCCCUGCUUUUGUGGGGUGCUCGAGUGGCGAACGGGUGAGUAACACGUGAGUAACCUGCCCUUGACUUUGGGAUAACUUCAGGAAACUGGGGCUAAUACCGGAUAGGAGCUCCUGCUGCAUGGUGGGGGUUGGAAAGUUUCGGCGGUUGGGGAUGGACUCGCGGCUUAUCAGCUUGUUGGUGGGGUAGUGGCUUACCAAGGCUUUGACGGGUAGCCGGCCUGAGAGGGUGACCGGCCACAUUGGGACUGAGAUACGGCCCAGACUCCUACGGGAGGCAGCAGUGGGGAAUAUUGCACAAUGGGCGGAAGCCUGAUGCGGCAACGCCGCGUGCGGGAUGACGGCCUUCGGGUUGUAAACCGCUUUCGCCUGUGACGAAGCGAGAGUGACGGUAAUGGGUAAAGAAGCACCGGCUAACUACGUG
rnacentral:rRNA from 1 species